rnacentral:misc_RNA from 1 species
AACGCACAUUGCGCCCUUUGGUAUUCCGAAGGGCACGUCUGUUUGAGCGUCAUUUCAACCCCUCGCCUCUCAGGUUUUGCCCUGACCGGACGGUCUUGAGCUCGGCUCGCUCCCUUAACCGGGAACGGGUUGGCUUUAAAGUUGAACGCUCUGCGGGUGUCUCGACCAAACCUAACAUAGUAAAAUCUUUUGCCUGUUUGGUGACGUCUUGCGCACUCCGCCUGAACAACAAACCAAUUUUCUCAGGUUUGACCUCAGAUCAGACGAGGAUACCCGCUGAACUUAA